AUUCCAGCUCCAAUAGCGUAUAUUAAAGUUGUUGCAGUUAAAAAGCUCGUAGUUGGAUUUCUGUUCUCGAGGAUCGGUCCGCCUCACGGUGAGCACUGGUUUUUCUUGGGGACAUCCUCUCGAAGGCGGGUGGUGCACUUAAUUGUGUGCUGCUUGGAUUCGGGACCUUUACUUUGAAAAAAUUAGAGUGUUCAAAGCAGGCGUCGGCUUGAAUACAUUAGCAUGGAAUAAUGGAAUAGGACUUUGGUUCUAUUUUGUUGGUUUCUAGGACCGAAGUAAUGAUUAAUAGGGACAGUUGGGGGCAUUAGUAUUUUGCUGUCAGAGGUGAGAUUCUCGGAUUUGCAAAAGACUAACUUAUGCGAAAGCAUUUGCCAAGGAUGUUUUCAUCG
rnacentral:rRNA from 1 species